rnacentral:rRNA from 1 species
CGGCUCACCUAGGCGACGAUCCCUAGCUGGUCUGAGAGGAUGACCAGCCACACUGGAACUGAGACACGGUCCAGACUCCUACGGGAGGCAGCAGUGGGGGAAUAUUGCACAAUGGGCGCAAGCCUGAUGCAGCCAUGCCGCGUGUGUGAAGAAGGCUUCGGGUUGUAAAGCACUUUCAGCGGGGAGGAAGGCGAUAAGGUUAAUAACCUUGUCGAUUGACGUUACCCGCAGAAGAAGCACCGGCUAACUCCGUGCCAGCAGCCGCGGUAAUACGGAGGGUGCAAGCGUUAAUCGGAAUUACUGGGCGUAAAGCGCACGCAGGCGGUCUGUCAAGUCGGAUGUGAAAUCCCCGGGCUCAACCUGGGAACUGCAUUCGAAACUGGCAGGCUAGAGUCUUGUAGAGGGGGGUAGAAUUCCAGGUGUAGCGGUGAAAUGCGUAGAGAUCUGGAGGAAUACCGGUGGCGAAGGCGGCCCC